UUCCACCUCCCGAGUUCAAGCGAUUCUCCUGCCUCAGCCUCCCUAGUAGCUGGGAUUACAGGCAUGUGCCAUCAUGCCCAGCUAAUUUUGUAUUUUUGGUAGAGAUGGUGUUUCUCCAUGUUGGUCAGGCUGGUAUCGAACUCCCAAUCUCAGGUGAUCUGCCUGCCUCGGCCUCCCAAAGUGCUGGGAUUACAGGCAUGAGCCACCU
rnacentral:lncRNA from 1 species